rnacentral:lncRNA from 1 species
GAGAGCAGGGUGGAGGUCAGUGUCGCUCUUUUUCGGAGAUCUGUGGAAAGGAAAGCACUUGAGGGAGAUGGUGAUGAUGGGGAGGAAGGCGAUGGCAGAGACCAGCGGGAGGUGGCGACGAGGAGCAUGGGAGGAGGUGGGCGUCCACAAGGCCUCGGGGAGGGUUUGAAGCAUUUUCUUUUUCGGAGAUCCAUGGGAAGGUAAACACUUGUGGGAGAUCGGAGGGGGAGGCCGAUGUUGGUGACGAUGAGGAGGAAUGCAACGGCGGAGACCGAUGGGAGG